AGGCACAGAUAUGUGAUAAAACAUUGAAAUGCUAUGUGUAAAGUUCAAGGUGGGACCCUAACACAGUUUCUGUUUCAUUUGAAGAGCCAUAUUCAAUCAGGACUGGAGAUCCAGUGCCCUUUUGGUCGCAAUAGGACAUUUAAGAAAAGCCAACAAACAAUGAGGUGCGUGCCGUUCUGUCAGGGAAAUUCUCUGGUCCUGUUUGUCCUGCACCUCUUAAUGGCCCAUUUUAAAGAAAAAGCCCGAGUCCCUUCUAAUUGAAGCUGUUGUAGCAGCAACUGCAGCCGACAUGGAAAGACGUGAAUUACCGGAUUCACCCACACUGAUUAUCCAAGGUGAAUUGAUGACCCCAAGCAAAUGGAUGAUGUCAGGUGAAAGGGAAGUUAUCCUGUUAAAUAAGAAAUUUAAAGGGACAGAUGAGCACACUGGUUACCAUCACGAAGGUGGUGAAGGUGGUCCGCUGUGAGAUGGCAGUAGGGUGUGGGGUUCAAUGCCUGUAGAUACAGGAUCAUUUGUUACAACAAUAAAUUGAAAUAAAGCUUUGAUUUAUGUGAUGUUUACUUGUAUAUGUAUUAAUAAUGAUUAAAUUCAUUUAUUUUCUUACAUCAAAUUUACGAAUUUUUUAUUCAUGUUUAUUCUAUAGUUUUCUGUAAAUAAAACAUAUUACAUUACUUCAUGCAUUAUGUCAUUGCUUCACUGAAAACGUAUGCAUUCACAUUUUUGUAGUCUGUAUUAAUGUAUAGAUGACAUAUAGGGUACACUUAAUUUAUAAGCAAUAAUACUAUUCCUUGACAAUAAAGUCAGCAGUGCUCUCCUAAGGCGAGAUCGUCGAGCAGCUACCCGACGUCUCCUUUGUGAAGGCAUUACAAACAUGUUGCAAAUGCUGGGAAAACUCAUGGAAGGUAAAGUUAGCAUUACUGAUGUUAAUGCACCUGUCUCUCACAGCUUAAGUUGUUGCACUUGUUAUUACGUCACAUGGUUAAUCUGUGGCCCAUGUACACUCCAGUACAGUAGGUGGCGGACAUGCAUCACAAAGUAAUUUGCUCCCCGCCAUUAAAAAGGAGAAGAAGAUCAUCAAUAUGGCGGACAACGGCCGAACGCAUUCAUACUACACCCAUUCAAAAAACAGUACGUAUCCGUUUAGCCCCGUUGAGUACGUGCCUACUGAAAUUGAGUACCACUGAGUAUACCAUUUCGGACUCAGCCAGUGUGUCCUGUUUUUGUCCGCAACAUUCUCGAUUUGUUCUGACACCACAAAAGCUCGCAGGUAAAGCCUUACGUUUCAGUGCGCUAGCUUCUACACGCAGAUGUUUUAACGCAGAUGCUGCGUCUGUAAAUCCGCGAUAAAGCGUCUGCUGCAUUAGGCUAAUCAAUAUA